rnacentral:rRNA from 1 species
UACGGAGGAUCCAAGCGUUAUCCGGAUUUAUUGGGUUUAAAGGGUGCGUAGGCGGCCUAUUAAGUCAGGGGGGAAAGACGGUAGCUUAACUAUCGCAGUGCCUUUGAUACUGAUGGGCUUGAAUGUACUUGAGGUAGGCGGAAUGUGACAAGUAGCGGUGAAAUGCAUAGAUAUGUCACAGAACACCAAUUGCGAAGGGAGCUUACUAAAGUAUGAUUGACGCUGAGGCACGAAAGCGUGGGGAUCAAACAGG